UAACGUGAGCGUCCUAAGGUAGCGCGAUAAUUUGCUUUUCAAUUGAAGGAUGGUAUGAAAGGGUUAACGAAGAAGGUGCUGUGUCUAAAAAUUCAAUUUAAACUAACUUUAAGGUGAAGAGGCCUUUAUGUAAAAGAAGGACGACAAGACCCUAUGAAGCUUUAUCUUAAUUGGAGCUUUCGGGCUCUUAUACGAUUUUGAUGGGAGAUCAGUAGAAAUAAGUCUUCUACUAUCAUAUUAAUCUUACUAGUAUUUCCUAACUUUAUAUGUGUGGCUAGCUACUCUAGGGAUAACAGCGCAAUUUCUCCCGAAAGAUGGUAUUGGAGGGGAAGAUUGCGACCUCGAUGUUGGCUUUAGAUAUCCUAGAGGCGUAGAAGCUUCU
rnacentral:rRNA from 1 species